rnacentral:rRNA from 1 species
UGGGGAAUAUUGGACAAUGGAGGGAACUCUGAUCCAGCAAUUCUGUGUGUGUGAAGAAGGUUUUAGGACUGUAAAACACUUUUAGUAGGGAAGAAAAAAAUGACGGUACCUACAGAAGAAGCAACGGCUAAAUACGUGCCAGCAGCCGCGGUAAUACGUAUGGGGCGAGCGUUGUCCGGAAUUAUUGGGCGUAAAGGGUACGUAGGCGGUCUAUUAAGUCAGGUGUGAAAGCGUGAGGCUUAACCUCAUUAAGCACUUGAAACUGAUAGACUUGAGUGAAGGAGAGGAAAGUGGAAUUCCUAGUGUAGCGAUGAAAUGCGUAGAUAUUAGGAGGAAUACCGGUGGCGAAGGCGACUUUCUGGACUUUUACUGACGCUCAGGUACGAAAGCGUGGGGAGCAAACAGG